GGGGCCGUAUUGGAUUUGACAGCGAUAGCAGUUGUCGGGUGCAAGCAUGUCGAGCCAUGUGAUGAGUCUCGUUAAUCUCUGAUCACAAACCAUAAUUGACAAUACGUCAUACCAACUUGCUGCCUAAUUUACGGAAUGUAAAUUAAGCUUUAUCUAGUGGAAUAAUAGUACACAGACGAGUUCCUUCUCCCUCAAUUCCGCCUGAUAAUUAAGGGACUCAGAAGGACCAAUUCUUUCAGGAUAGCGAUUGUGAUACUCCUAAGCAGUCGUGAAACUCAGGAGAUAAGCGUAUUACUUGGGUGUCUUUGUCCGAUGAUACGUCGAAAACCGAAUCGAAGAAUAAGCAUGUAGAAAGCCAGGUAAUUCGUCGUUUGGACGAGGGUUCGAUCCCCUCCGGCUCCACAA
rnacentral:tmRNA from 1 species